UUUGACCUCGGAUCAGGUAGGAAUACCCGCUGAACUUAAGCAUAUCAAUAAGCGGAAGA
rnacentral:rRNA from 1 species